UGUCAGAAGUGGGGUACGAACCCACGCUAACAAGAUGAGACUGCGACCUGAACGCAGCGCCUAGACCAUUCGGCCAUCUUGAC